ACCUCCCGGGAAGUCCUCGUGUU
rnacentral:snRNA from 1 species